AUGAACGCUAGCUACAGGCUUAACACAUGCAAGUCGAGGGGCAGCGGUAUCGAAAGCUUGCUUUCGGUAGCCGGCGACCGGCGCACGGGUGAGUAACGCGUAUCGAACCUGCCUCAUACUCGGGAAUAGCCUUGCGAAAGUAAGAUUAAUGCCCGGUGUUUUCAGAGUCCCGCAUGAGGCUUUGAACAAAGAUUUAUCGGUAUGAGAUGGCGAUGCGUCCCAUUAGCUUGUUGGCGUGGUAACGGCCCACCAAGGCAUCGAUGGGUAGGGGUUCUGAGAGGAAGGUCCCCCACAUUGGAACUGAGACACGGUCCAAACUCCUACGGGAGGCAGCAGUGAGGAAUAUUGGUCAAUGGGCGGAAGCCUGAACCAGCCAAGUAGCGUGCAGGAAGACGGCCCUCCGGGUUGUAAACUGCUUUUAGUUGGGAAUAAAACGGGGCUCGUGAGCCCCCUUGCAUGUACCAUCAGAAAAAGGACCGGCUAAUUCCGUGCCAGCAGCCGCGGUAAUACGGAAGGUCCGGGCGUUAUCCGGAUUUAUUGGGUUUAAAGGGAGCGCAGGCGGACCUUUAAGUCAGCUGUGAAAUACGGCGGCUCAACCGUCGAACUGCAGUUGAUACUGGAGGUCUUGAGUGCACACAGGGAUGCUGGAAUUCAUGGUGUAGCGGUGAAAUGCUCAGAUAUCAUGAAGAACUCCGAUCGCGAAGGCAGGCAUCCGGGGUGCAACUGACGCUGAGGCUCGAAAGUGCGGGUAUCAAACAGGAUUAGAUACCCUGGUAGUCCGCACAGUAAACGAUGAAUACUCGCGGUUUGCGAUAUACUGUAAGCCGCCAAGCGAAAGCGUUAAGUAUUCCACCUGGGGAGUACGCCGGCAACGGUGAAACUCAAAGGAAUUGACGGGGGCCCGCACAAGCGGAGGAACAUGUGGUUUAAUUCGAUGAUACGCGAGGAACCUUACCCGGGCUUGAAUUGCAGAGGAAGGAUUUGGAGACAAUGACGCCCUUCGGGGUCUCUGUGAAGGUGCUGCAUGGUUGUCGUCAGCUCGUGCCGUGAGGUGUCGGCUUAAGUGCCAUAACGAGCGCAACCCUCAUCCUCGUUUGCCAUCAGGUGAUGCUGGGCACUCCGGGGACACUGCCAUCGUAAGAUGUGAGGAAGGUGGGGAUGACGUCAAAUCAGCACGGCCCUUACGUCCGGGGCUACACACGUGUUACAAUGGGCGGUACAGAGGGCAGCCACUGCGCGAGCAGGAGCCAAUCCUCAAAGCCGUUCUCAGUUCGGACUGGAGUCUGCAACCCGACUCCACGAAGCUGGAUUCGCUAGUAAUCGCGCAUCAGCCAUGGCGCGGUGAAUACGUUCCCGGGCCUUGUACACACCGCCCGUCAAGCCAUGAAAGCCGGGAGCACUUGAAGGCCGUGACCGCAAGGGUCGGUCUAGAGUGAUACUGGUAAUUGGGGCU
rnacentral:rRNA from 1 species